GCGCAACGGUUGUUCCGAGUUUUCUUUUUUUCAACUUGUUAUUUCGUAUUUCGCAUUUCACUCAGUUUUGCAAUUGGCCGUAUCGAACCUGAAAGGGAUCGGGUGCCAUUAAACACUAAGAAGAAGAAGAAGUAAAUAUAAACUGGAUAACAUCGUAAAGGAUGAAUAUUAUUUAUCGUUUCUAGAUGUGAUAUAAUAUAAAGUUUGUAACGAACGAAUUGCAUAAAACAACCAUGAAUCCCGCGGAAGCUGAAAACAUUGCUGACUUGGUUCAGAAUAUGAUUAUUUCUUUGUGCGGUGAACAAAAACCAGAAUUAAUCAGAAGAUUUAUGCGCUUUUCUCUUGGAUUAUUAUCGUCCACUCAAGGCAUAGAAAUAUUAAGAGAGGAUGAAGUAACCGUAGCGACAUGUAUAAAGAGCAAAUUAUCACCACACGAUGCAGUGCAAUUCGAUAAACUACAUAAUGACUUAAAAGAUAGGCUCCUGAAGAAUCGUACAAGUAUCCUGGUGUUUCUGCUAAACAUGGGCCAGUCGGCGGACCAGAUAAAGGAUAGAAUCUUUUCGUUUCCAGAUAUGAAAUUCGGUUUAAGCCCGAUCGCCUCCACCAGCGGGCAGUCGUCGCAAACAUCGUGCUCUCAGGCACAAAUCGUGUCGCUGAACACGACGGAGACGAGUUCGAGGGGAUUGCUGAUAAAUCCGAGUAAAAUAUUUAAUGAGGAAUGCAUUUCGGAGGAUGUGCUAGUUCAGGACUUGAUAUAUUCCUUUCAAAGCGUUGAGGGGAAGGUAUUGAAGCUGGAUUCGAACUAUGGCUUUCAAAUCGAUUCCAUGAUAAAGAUUAAUAGAUCUCAGAGGCAGGCCGUUCUGAGAUUGAGCGAGUUGGGGUACUUGCAUAAUGUGAUACGGAAGGGGUUGGAGAGAAUGUCGGUGGCCGGUGCGGGCAGAGUUGCCGAUAGUUUUGUCGCUGCGUUGCACAAGGAAUUGUCAGAGUAUUACAGAUUUAUAGCUAUAAUGCAAGAGGAAGUAAACAGGUCGCAAAGUCAGAUGGCCAUGUACGGAGUUACGCUGUCACAUUUACAUCUCUGGACGUGCGAUCCCUUGGAGAACCUGAAGUGGUUAGCGAGCAUAGUACGAGCUUGCCAGGGCCAGAAGGGCGGCGCAUUGGCGUCUACAGUUUACGAGUUCAGCUACCAUGGUGACGCUGUCGUAAAGAAUUUGGUGAAAAGAGUUCUGGAAAGCGUUUGCAAUCCUUUGUACAAUAUGUUGAUGAGAUGGAUUGCCGAUGGGGAGCUGGACGAUCCGUACAAAGAGUUCUUCAUUCAAGCAUGUGCUGACGUCGGCGGAGACAGAAUGUGGCACGAGAAGUACCAAGUGAGAAAUUCGAUGGUGCCAUCUUUCAUUAGUAAAGCUCAGGCGAAGAAGAUUCUUGGGACUGGAAAAAAUAUCAACUUCUUGCGUGAAGUUUGCAAAGACUUCUCGCCGUGGCAAGACAGGCACGCGGAUAUGUUCAGAAAUAGCGAGGAGGAAUAUAAUGUUGAAGUUUUCUUCGACAUGGAUCCAGACAGUCGCUUGCAGACUAUGAUGGAUGCCGCUUACAAGGAAACUUCAACGAGAGUCGUCGAGAUCCUGACGAAGCAGUAUCAUCUAAUGGAUCACUUGCAGGGAAUCAAAGGAUACCUCUUACUUGGUCAGGGUCACUUCAUUCAACAUCUUAUGCACCUGCUGGAACCUGAACUAGCGAAACCAGCGAGUUCUUUGUACCCUCACAACAUAUCAUCGAUACUUGAAACUGCAAUAAGAGCAACCAGUACAAAAUUGGAUGACUUGGACGUACAGAAACGCUUAGACGUCAGAUUACUCGCCCCUUCGGAAAGCGAGACGGGAUGGGACGUUUUCAUUUUGGAUUAUAAUAUCGAUGGCCCCAUUGGCACGAUUUUGGAGCCAUGCAGGCAAACGUAUCAAACGGUGUUCUUCGCGUUGUGGCGAGCGAAGAGGAUGGAGUCGAUCUUGUCCGCCAUUUGGAAGCAACAGACAACGUCGGCCAAGAUGUUUAGGAAGAUGCCGGAGGUAUUGCCGAUCCAGAAUCACAUUCAUCUGAUUACCAGCAGCAUGGUUCAUCUGGUUCAUCAGAUGCAGUAUUACUUUUUAUUUGAGGUAAUCGAAUGUUCCUGGGAUACGUUUGCGAAGCAACUCCUGCAGGCGACGUCCCUCGAUGAUAUAAUUGCGGCUCACAACCACUUUGUAGACUCCGUGAGAUACGGCACGUUGUUAGACGAAAAGUCACAAGAACUUAUGGAUCAUUUGCGCUCCGUCUACAGUCCGAUCUUGGAUCUGCAAAACCUCGAGGAGACUUUCCUCGCGCGUGCCACUCAGGAGUACGAGGCGAGAGCGAGUGCUGAGAAUUUUGUGCAGUCGUACGAGCAAACGAAAAAGUGGGGCCGCACGAAUAAGAAGGAUCAGGCAGCCGUGGAACGAGAGGCGGCAUUUGCAAAAUAUUUGAAUACGCUGUCGAUACAAUUGAGACUGCUUUCGAGAACCUAUCAGGACCGUGUAAAAAAGUUUUUGCUAAUGCUUGCUUCCGCUGAAGAUGCGUCGCUGCAGUUACUCAGCGUGCGAUUAGACUUUAACGAGUAUUACAAGAGUAAGGAUAGCAGGCUAGUCGCGCCGUUAACGUAUCAGCACCGUAGGCAAAGUGAUCAUACCUUUUUCGCAUGCAAGUGACAGUCGGCAGGGGAAGACUCGUUAGAAACCUCGAGCCCGAGUCACCUUUCGAAAUGCCAUGUCCCAACCGAGCAGUACUCGCCCGACGUUAAUAACCACAAUCAUCCAAAAUGGUGACAGAUAUUCACGAUACUGUCGCCGCGAGCGACAAGAGAAGAUGUAGAACCAAUUUGCGAAACGCCGAGUUGAGUAAACGUACAUUUCGAAUAUUUUUGGAAAAA
rnacentral:misc_RNA from 1 species